rnacentral:rRNA from 1 species
UUAGCUAGUUGGUGAGGUAACGGCUUACCAAGGCGACGAUCUAUAGCGGGUCUGAGAGGAUGAUCCGCCACACUGGAACUGAGACACGGUCCAGACUCCUACGGGAGGCAGCAGUGGGGAAUUUUGGACAAUGGGGGCAACCCUGAUCCAGCCAUGCCGCGUGAGUGAAGAAGGCCUUCGGGUUGUAAAGCUCUUUCGGCCGGGAAGAAAUCGCAUGGGCCAAUACCCUGUGUGGAUGACGGUACCGGAAUAAGAAGCACCGGCUAACUACGUGCCAGCAGCCGCGGUAAUACGUAGGGUGCGAGCGUUAAUCGGAAUUACUGGGCGUAAAGCGUGCGCAGGCGGUUUUGUAAGACAGGCGUGAAAUCCCCGGGCUCAACCUGGGAACUGCGUUUGUGACUGCAAGGCUAGAGUACGGCAGAGGGGGGUGGAAUUCCACGUGUAGCAGUGAAAUGCGUAGAGAUGUGGAGGAACACCAAUGGCGAAGGCAGCCCCCUGGGUCGAUACUGACGCUCAUGCACGAAAGCGUGGGUAGCAAACAGGAUUAGAUACCCUGGUAGUCCACGCCCUAAACUAUGUCAACUAGGUGUUGGGUGGGUAAAACCAUUUAGUACCGUAGCUAACGCGUGAAGUUGACCGCCUGGGGAGUACGGCCGCAAGGUUAAAACUCAAAGGAAUUGACGGGGACCCGCACAAGCGGUGGAUGAUGUGGAUUAAUUCGAUGCAACGCGAAAAACCUUACCUACCCUUGACAUGCCAGGAACUUGCCAGAGAUGGCUUGGUGCCCGAAAGGGAGCCUGGACACAGGUGCUGCAUGGCUGUCGUCAGCUCGUGUCGUGAGAUGUUGGGUUAAGUCCCGCAACGAGCGCAACCCUUGUCGUUAAUUGCCAUCAUUUAGUUGGGCACUUUAGCGAGACUGCCGGUGAUAAACCGGAGGAAGGUGGGGAUGACGUCAAGUCCUCAUGGCCCUUAUGGGUAGGGCUUCACACGUCAUACAAUGGUCGGUACAAAGGGUCGCCAAGCCGCGAGGUGGAGCCAAUCCCAGAAAGCCGAUCGUAGUCCGGAUUGCAGGCUGCAACUCGCCCGCAUGAAGUCGGAAUCGCUAGUAAUCGUGGAUCAGCAUGUCACGGUGAACACGUUCCCGGGUCUUGUACACACCGCCCGUCACACCAUGGGAGCGGGUUCCGCCAGAAGUAGGUAGCCUAACCGUAAGGAGGGCGCUUACCACGGCGGGGUUCGUGACUGGGGUGAAGUCGGAACAAGGUAGCCGUAGGGGAACCUGCGGCUG